GACGAACGCUGGCGGCGUGCUUAACACAUGCAAGUCGAACGGAAAGGCCCUGCUUUUGUGGGGUGCUCGAGUGGCGAACGGGUGAGUAACACGUGAGUAACCUGCCCUUGACUUUGGGAUAACUUCAGGAAACUGGGGCUAAUACCGGAUAGGAGCUCCUGCUGCAUGGAGGGGGUUGGAAAGUUUCGGCGGUUGGGGAUGGACUCGCGGCUUAUCAGCUUGUUGGUGGGGUAGUGGCUUACCAAGGCUUAGACGGGUAGCCGGCCUGAGAGGGUGACCGGCCACAAUGGGACUGAGGUACGGCGCAGACUGCUACGGGAGGCAGCAGUGGGGAAUAUUGCACAAUGGGCGGAAGCCUGAUGCAGAAACGCCGCGUGCGGGAUGACGGCCUUCGGGUUGUAAACCGCUGUCGCCUGUGACGAAGCGUGAGUGACGGUAAUGGGUAAAGAAGCACCGGCUAACUACGUG
rnacentral:rRNA from 1 species